GUCAGAAAGAGAAAGUACUCAGGGAUGAAUCCUGACAGCCCGUUAUCCCAAGGCUUCUUGAAAUUUCAUUUCGUGAUUAAAGCCUGGCCAGAUACACAGAAAAAGCUCCAGAAGGUGGGAGGAUGUAGUGAACAGUCACUGGGGGGCCCUCCUGUGGGAGGCCCUGAAGGUGUAUGUCAGGAGGGGAGAUGAGAAGGAAAA